UGCCCAUAUCACUUUGAAACAUCAGUUCCCAUACGAUUACCGAAGUUAAGCAACGUCGGACCUGGUCAGUACUUAGAUGGGUGAUUGCUUGUGAAUAUUAGGUGCU